AACCGCCGUAUACCGAACGGUACGUACGGUGGUGUGAGAGGUCGGGGGCUAGCCGCCCCCUCCUACUUAAU
rnacentral:autocatalytically_spliced_intron from 1 species